rnacentral:rRNA from 1 species
GAUGAACGCUAGCGGCAGGCCUAACACAUGCAAGUCGAGGGGCAGCACAUAAAGUGGUUUACUACUUUUGGUGGCGACCGGCGGACGGGUGCGUAACGCGUAUGCAACCUGCCUCCAACAGGGGGAUAACGGAGAGAAAUUUCCACUAAUACCCCAUAAUAUCAGAAUCGGCAUCGGUUUUGGUUGAAAACUCCGGUGGUUGGAGAUGGGCAUGCGUUGUAUUAGAUAGUUGGUGAGGUAACGGCUCACCAAGUCAACGAUACACAGGGGGACUUAGAGGUUAGUCCCCCACACUGGUACUGAGACACGGACCAGACUCCUACGGGAGGUAGCAGUGAGGAAUAUUGGUAAAUGGGGGCAACCCUGAACCAGCCAUGCCGCGUGCAGGAAGACGGCUCUAUGAGUUGUAAACUGCUUUUACAAGGGGAUAAAUCGGUGUACGUGUACACCGUUGAAGGUACCUUGGGAAUAAGGAUCGGCUAACUCCGUGCCAGCCGCCGCCGUAA